CCUACGGGAGGCAGCAGUGAGGAAUAUUGGUCAAUGGGCGGAAGCCUGAACCAGCCAAGUCGCGUGAGGGAAUAAGGCCCUACGGGUCGUAAACCUCUUUUGCCGGGGAGCAAGGGCGGGGACGUGUCCCGGCCCGGAGAGUACCCGGAGAAAAAGCAUCGGCUAACUCCGUGCCAGCAGCCGCGGUAAUACGGAGGAUGCGAGCGUUAUCCGGAUUUAUUGGGUUUAAAGGGUGCGCAGGCGGUCUGUUAAGUCAGCGGUCAAAGCCCGGGGCUCAACCCCGGCCCGCCGUUGAAACUGGCAGUCUCGAGUUGGAGAGAAGUAUGCGGAAUGCGCGGUGUAGCGGUGAAAUGCAUAGAUAUCGCGCAGAACUCCGAUUGCGAAGGCAGCAUGCCGGCUCCACACUGACGCUGAGGCACGAAAGCGUGGGUAUCGAACAGGAUUAGAUACCCUUGUAGUC
rnacentral:rRNA from 1 species